rnacentral:lncRNA from 1 species
AUGUUAUUUGUUUAUAGACUAUAUACAGAUGUCCAGUUGUCCCUUUGCUGUUUUAUAUGUUGUAUUUUAUUGAGUUUUUAUUUCUUUUUGAAUUCGGUUCAGAGACAAAAAAAGGUUGGAAAGGAGAGGGUCCUCACUCAGCUGAAGGAUACACUGAGGAAACCACUCCACUCUGAUCCACGCAGAACCAACCCGUUACAUAGUGAGGAGGAAGUUCAAGCCGAAACCGUGGACACAAAUGUGGAUUUGUUCGAUUACCCAGAGAAUUUUCAACCAACCGAUACCUUAGAUGCUGCUGAGGCAAGUGGAGAGAGCGUGGAACAGCCAUUAUUUGUCAGUGGUGAAGUGUUGAAAGCUUUGAAAGAAAUUCCCACCUUAGUGCAGUGUGUCAAGGAACUAAUAUCCUCAAUGAACAGAGGGAUGGAUACAGCAAGCACAAGCUCAGGGUCCUCCAGCUCAGCCCAAGAGAUGGUAUGUUAUUGUAUGUGUUUUGUGAAAUACUAAUCAUUCAAAACAAAAAUUGUAAUAACAAUGCUGUGAGAACUAGCAAGCUUUAUAUCCUAUAAGCAUAAGGUGGAUAUUAUGAAUAAUUUUGUGGCUAUUCAUAAAGCACUAAUGUACUAAUGUUUUUUUUUUUUCUUUUUUCGGCAGACACUGUCAUAUCUGAGUUUCCGGGCACGUCACAGUCCGAGGUUAGAGCCGUAAUACGGCGAAAGUGCAAUAACGAAAGUUUUGUUUCAAAAAAAAACACUGUAAAGGUAAUUUUUUGUUGUUGUUGGGAAAGGAAUGUGAAAGUAAAGAAGAAAUUUGUGUUUUGUUCAUAUAAGAUACGUACAGUAAUCUGUAGUUUAAUCAUUUUAUUAAAGGGUUAGUUCACCCAAAAAUCGAAAAGUUCUUUGUAUUUAGUCACCCGCGUGUUGUUCUAAACCCUUAAGACUUCCAUUAACCAUCGCAUCACAAAAUAUUAUAUUUAUGAUGGAAUCUGAGCGCUGGAUAAGUCUUCCAUUGACUUCCAAGGGGCUUAAACUUGCUCGAUCAGAAAUCGUAUUAAGACAUUGUUUGAAAUUGUCUAAGUGACUCCAGUGGCUCAACCAUCCAUUUAUCAAGCGACGAGAAUAGUUUUUUUGUGCCAAAAACAAACAAAAAUAACGAAUUUAUUCCAAUAUCCAUUUACUCGUGUUGUGCUUGAAAGUUGUUUACGUAGUGUAUCUGCGCGAGCUUCUGGGUUCUACGUCACCAGGCGUCACACACAUGACCUGCGUUGGCCAAUAGUGAGCCUGUGUGGUGACGUAGAACCCAGAAGCGCUGCGCAGAUAGACUACGUAAACAACUUUGAAGCACAACACUAGUAAAUGGAUAUUGGAAUAAAUUCGUUAUUUUUGUUUGUUUUUGGCGCAGAAAAAGUAUUCUCGAUGGUUGAGCCACUGAAGUCACUUGGACUAUUUUAAACAAUGUCUAUAUGUUUUCUGAUCGAGCAAGUUUAAGCCCCUUGGAAGUCAAUGGAAGACUUAUCCAGCGCUCAGAUUACAUCAUAAAUAUAAUAUUUUGUUAUGCAAUUAUAAAUGAAAGCCAUACGGGGUUAGAACAACACGCAGGUGAGUAAAAACUGAGAUCAUUUUGAUUUUUGGGUGAACUCCUUUAAUGCUUUUAGUUUAAGCUUGCCACUUGUGUUAUUUUGUUUCCCAACAGUCUGUUUGGACUUUAAUAAUGUUUAAAAAAAAUAAAGUGUUUUUUAAGAAAGAGAUGCUUUUUGUUUGUACACAUACCAUUCCUCCUGUAUCCUUUUAAGCUAUAGGUGUUUUCAUUUACAUGAAUUACAUUUACCGGUUAUUUUUAUCAAAUGCAUUACAUCUAACUUUAAAAUGAUUAUUGUAUUAAACGCCUUCAUCAAUGGUGGACAAUUUUAACAUUUACAUUUUAACAGUAUAACUUCAGCAUAAAUGAGGCAGAAAAUGCUACUGAUAACACAGUAAUAGUGUACUUGACUAAAAAAAAAAACCAUUAACAUUUAAAUGUUUUAUAAAAGUACUUUUGACAUAGUUAAAAUACAUUUUUACAAUAAAUUAGUUUCCAUAAAUAUAAUAUGAUUGUAUAUUCUUAUAUUUUAAAGAAUUUAAAGGUGUAUUUAAACAUGUUUUAAAGAUGGGUUCUAUUGCUCUAAGGGGGAAAAAAAAUAAAGCUGAAAUAAUAUUUUAAAAUCAUGUUUUAAGUUCAUCUUAAGUUUGUAUAAAAAUAGCACAGUUGAUAUAUUCUUAUAUUUUAAAUAAUUUAUGUGUAUUUAAAAAUGUAUUAAAGAUUUAAUCUAAAGAUAAAAUUAAAGCUGAAAUAGUAUGUUAAAAGCAUAUUUAAGUUCAUCUUCAGUGUGUCUCAAAAUAGCACAGUUGAGUACACUAAGAUGAUCUUAAGUUUAUAUUAAGAAGUACUAAAGAACAUUUUUUAGUAUAUUAAAUACAAAAUAAGUGCGUGAAAAUAGAGCACUUUAAAUACAUUAUGGAAGUGUAUUAAGUGCACUUAAAUAAAAUGUAUUUUAGUGUACUUUUUUAAUCUAGGAAUACAUUAUAAGUAUAAUUUGUAUAUAAUUACAUAUUAUUAUUAUUAUCAUUUAAAUAGUUUAUUAUUGUAUUUAAAGAUGGUUUCAAUUAUACUAAAACUGGUAACGAAAUACAUUUGUUGAAAAUAUGAAAUAGUAUAUUAAAAAUACACUUUAGUUUAUCUUCAGUGUGUCUCAAAAAAGCACAAUUGAGUACACUAAGAUGAUUUUAAGUUUAUAUUAAGCAGUACUAAAGGUAAGCUUUUAGUAUAUUAAGUGCAAAAUAAGUGUGUCGAAAAUAGAGCACUUUAAGUACAUUAUGGAAGUGUAUUAUGGAAGUGUAAUAAAAUGUAUUUUAGUGCACUUUUUUUAAUCUAGGAAUACAUUCUAAGUAUAAUUUGUAUAUAAUUUAAUAUUAUUAUUAUUAUAAUUUAAAUAGUUUAUUAUUUUAUUUAAAGAUGAUUUCAAUUAUACUUAAAGUGGUAACAAAAUACAUUUUUAAAAAAUAUGAAAUAGUAUAUUAAAAAUACACUUAAAUUCAUCUUCAGUGUGUCUCAAAAAAGCACAAUUGAGUAUACUAAGAUGAUUUUAAGUUUAUAUUAAGC